GGGCCUAUAGCUCAAUUUGGCAGAGCACCCGGCUCAUAACCGGAUGGUUUCCAGGUUCGAUUCCUGGUAGGCCCA
rnacentral:tRNA from 1 species